CAAGGUUAAAACUCAAAUGAAUUGACGGGGGCCCGCACAAGCGGUGGAGCAUGUGGUUUAAUUCGAUGCAACGCGAAGAACCUUACCUACUCUUGACAUCCAGAGAACUUAGCAGAGAUGCNUUGGUGCCUUCGGGAACUGUGAGACAGGUGCUGCAUGGCUGUCGUCAGCUCGUGUUGUGAAAUGUUGGGUUAAGUCCCGCAACGAGCGCAACCCUUAUCCUUUGUUGCCAGCGCGUGAUGGCGGGAACUCAAAGGAGACUGCCGGUGAUAAACCGGAGGAAGGUGGGGAUGACGUCAAGUCAUCAUGGCCCUUACGAGUAGGGCUACACACGUGCUACAAUGGCGCAUACAAAGAGAAGCGACCUCGCGAGAGCAAGCGGACCUCACAAAGUGCGUCGUAGUCCGGAUCGGAGUCUGCAACUCGACUCCGUGAAGUCGGAAUCG
rnacentral:rRNA from 1 species